GGUAAACCCGCCGAAAGGCGGCGACACAAAGCCAUAUGGGUCUAAUGCCUGACUGCCGCAGCGGUCAGACGAUGAUAGCCGGUUGC
rnacentral:ncRNA from 1 species